AGAUUGAACGCUAGCGGGAUGCUUUACACAUGCAAGUCGAACGGCAGCGCGGACUUCGGUCUGGCGGCGAGUGGCGAACGGGUGAGUAAUAUAUCGGAACGUGCCCAGUAGCGGGGGAUAACUACGCGAAAGCGUGGCUAAUACCGCAUACGCCCUACGGGGGAAAGGGGGGAUUCUUCGGAACCUCGUCACUAUUGGAGCGGCCGAUAUCGAGAUUAGCUAGUUGGUGGGUAAAGCUCACCAAGGUCGACGAUCUGUAGCUGGUUUGAGAGGACGACCAGCCACACUGGGACUGAGACACGGCCCAGACUCCUACGGGAGGCAGCAGUGGGAAUUUGGAACAAUGGGGAAACCUGAUCGAGCCAGUCCCGCGUGGU
rnacentral:rRNA from 1 species